rnacentral:rRNA from 1 species
GGUUUUUGGAAUUUAUCAAAAAUCAAACCUGCUCAAUGUUUAAUAAAUAGCCGCGGUAUUAUGACCGUGCAAAGGUAGCAUAAUAAUUAGUCUUUUAAUUGAGGACUGGAAUGAAUGGUUUAACUAAUUAUUUUUGUCUUAUGUUUAUAUUUCUAAUUUUAUAUUUUAAUAAAAAAGUUAAAAUAUUUUUAAGGGACGAGAAGACCCUAUCAAGCUUUAUAAUUGUUAUUUAUUUUCAAAUUAAAUAAAAAAUUAUUUUACUGGGGCAGUAGAUAAUAAAAAUAUUAUUUAUGUAUUGUAGUAUCAAACUUUUUAAAAUCAAAAAAUUUUUAAAAAGAAAUAAGUUACUGUAGGGAUAACAGCAUAAUUUUUUUUAAGAGUUCUUAUCAUCAAAAAAGUUUGUGACCUCGAUGUUGGAUUAAGAUUCCUAAAUUACGCAGCAGUAAUAAAAAGGAAGUCUGUUCGACUUUUAAAAUCUUCCA